UGCUGCUUCGCUGACGAGUGGCGGACGGGUGAGUAAUGUCUGGGAAACUGCCUGAUGGAGGGGGAUAACUACUGGAAACGGUAGCUAAUACCGCAUAACGUCGCAAGACCAAAGAGGGGGACCUUCGGGCCUCUUGCCAUCGGAUGUGCCCAGAUGGGAUUAGCUAGUAGGUGGGGUAACGGCUCACCUAGGCGACGAUCCCUAGCUGGUCUGAGAGGAUGACCAGCCACACUGGAACUGAGACACGGUCCAGACUCCUACGGGAGGCAGCAGUGGGGAAUAUUGCACAAUGGGCGCAAGCCUGAUGCAGCCAUGCCGCGUGUAUGAAGAAGGCCUUCGGGUUGUAAAGUACUUUCAGCGGGGAGGAAGGGAGUAAAGUUAAUACCUUUGCUCAUUGACGUUACCCGCAGAAGAAGCACCGGCUAACUCCGUGCCAGCAGCCGCGGUAAUACGGAGGGUGCAAGCGUUAAUCGGAAUUACUGGGCGUAAAGCGCACGCAGGCGGUUUGUUAAGUCAGAUGUGAAAUCCCCGGGCUCAACCUGGGAACUGCAUCUGAUACUGGCAAGCUUGAGUCUCGUAGAGGGGGGUAGAAUUCCAGGUGUAGCGGUGAAAUGCGUAGAGAUCUGGAGGAAUACCGGUGGCGAAGG
rnacentral:rRNA from 1 species